rnacentral:rRNA from 1 species
UAUACAACUUUCAGCAACGGAUCUCUUGGCUCUCGCAUCGAUGAAGAACGCAGCGAAAUGCGAUAAGUAAUGUGAAUUGCAGAAUUCAGUGAAUCAUCGAAUCUUUGAACGCACCUUGCGCUCCUUGGUAUUCCGAGGAGCAUGCCUGUUUGAGUGUCAUUAAAUU